GUCGAACGAUGACGUCACUGCUUGCAGUGAUUGAUUAGUGGCGAACGGGUGAGUAACACGUGAGGAACUUGCCCAUGAGCGGGGGACAACAUUCGGAAACGGAUGCUAAUACCCCAUAGGUGGAUUGGUCGCAUGACUAAUUCAUUAAAGGUGGCUCUGCUACCACUCAUGGAUAGCCUCGCGGCGUAUUAGCCAGUUGGUAAGGUAAUGGCUUACCAAGGCAGUGAUACGUAGCCGACUUGAGAGGGUGAUCGGCCACACUGGGACUGAGACACGGCCCAGACUCCUACGGGAGGCAGCAGUAGGGAAUCUUCCACAAUGGGUGCAAACCUGAUGGAGCAAUGCCGCGUGAGUGAAGAAGGUCUUCGGAUCGUAAAGCUCUGUUGUUAGAGAAGAACACGUGCUAGGUAACUACUAGCGCCUUGACGGUAUCUAACCAGAAAGUCACGGCUAACUACGUGCCAGCAGCCGCGGUAAUACGUAGGUGACAAGCGUUGUCCGGAUUUAUUGGGCGUAAAGGGAGCGCAGGCGGUCUGUUUAGUCUGAUGUGAAAGCCCACGGCUUAACCGUGGAACGGCAUUGGAAACUGACAGACUUGAAUGUAGAAGAGGAAAAUGGAAUUCCAAGUGUAGCGGUGGAAUGCGUAGAUAUUUGGAGGAACACCAGUGGCGAAGGCGAUUUUCUGGUCUAACAUUGACGCUGAGGCUCGAAAGCGUGGGGAGCG
rnacentral:rRNA from 1 species